CGGACGGGUGAGUAAUGUCUGGGAAACUGCCCGAUGGAGGGGGAUAACUACUGGAAACGGUAGCUAUACCGCAUAAUGUCUACGGACCAAAGCGGGGGACCUCCGGGCCUCGCGCCAUCAGAUGAACCCAUAUGGGAUUAGCUAGUAGGUGGGGUAACGGCUCACCUAGGCGACGAUCCCUAGCUGGUCUGAGAGGAUGACCAGCCACACUGGAACUGAGACACGGUCCAG
rnacentral:rRNA from 1 species